rnacentral:lncRNA from 1 species
AGACAGGGUUUCACUGUGUUAGCCAGGAUGGUUUCGAUCUCCUGGCCUCGUGAUCCGCCCGCCUCAGCCUCCCAAAGUGCUGGGAUUACAGGUGUGAGCCACCGCGCCCGGCCUGAAAUGUGCAUUUUUGUUGCAUGGGCCUAAUUUAAAACUGGCCCAAGGGGACAUUUUGUACAAUCGCCGAGAAAUUUGCAAUCUCAGAUUGAGACUUAAAAUUAUUAAAUUCAGCUUUGACUGAAUUUUUGAUGCAAAAAAAAAUCACGAAACCUUAAAUACUGAACCACCAAAGAAGGGUGAUAGACAAUUAACUCUGGCUGUUAGCCUGUGUUACUGUCAUUACAACACUUAAAAACUGUGCUAGGGUAAAUUAAACCUUUUGGGUUUCAGUAAUUAAGAUACCCUGAGAGGAACACAACCUCAUAGAUCUUGGUUUCUUGUGUUGUGUAGUUAAGUGGCCUUACAGGCUGGCUUGUGAUGAUGUCAGAGAAUGGGAUGUGGAGCUUAACUGUUCUUAGCAUUUUGCUAGGCCCUAUGAGGUAGAGGAGGCAUUUUUCCCAAUAUAGAGUCAUGUAGCUUAUAUGUGGUGUGGAAAUAAAUGAAGACCAACCAAAUAAGAACAGGCAAAAGCGAUUUCAUCAGAGCUUGCUAUAGCAAAGGAGUCAGACAUCAUCACAUGUUUUGGCAGAGACUCAAAGUCAGGCAAAGGAGUGGGAAAGCUUUAUGGUGGAAAAAAGGGAAGACUUCAGGUGUGACUCAAUUAGAACCCAUGAGUGGUCUAAUCAGAAGUGGGACAUCCUAUAUGGAUAUUUGGCUUUCUUUCAUUGGUCCUAAAUUGGAAGCAAGGACAAAAAUUACGUAAGCUAUCUGUUAUUAUUCAAGUCCUGGCUGUUUGGGGCUGAUUGUUACAGGGUUGUUGUUUGGCUUCCUGGACUGGUUGCUAAAGAUAGGGGUCUGAUUUCCUUCAAGUCUGACUUAUAGAUAGUAGGCUAGUUACUGUAGAUAAUGGGUUGGUUUCUUGGGCUGGUGGCUGCAGAUUAUGUAUCAGAGUCCUAUUUUUAUAUACGGUCUUGCUAUUGUCCAUUUGCAUAUUCAGUCUCUCUGUGUUAAAACUGCUUGAAUCUGGGGCUUUUUUAAAAAUAAUAGAGGUGGGGUCUUGCUAUGUUGGCCAGAGUGGUCGCAAACUCCUGGCCUCAACAGUCCUCUUGACUCAGCCUCCCAAAAUGCUAGUGUGAGCCACCAUGCCUGGCCUGAAUCCAGGGCUUUUUUAUUCCACAGCUAUGUUCUUUCCACUAUUGAAUGCUAUCAGAUAAUAUCAAGGAAUUAAAUAAAAUAUAAUCAGCUUCUCCCUUUUCUCCUUCAAACACAUCAGCCAACAGCUUUUUUCUUUUCUUUUCCUUUCUUUUUUUUUUUUUUUUUUUGAGAUGGAGUCUUGCUCUGUUGCCCAGGCUGGAGUGCAGUGGCACGAUCUCUGCUCACUGCAACCUCCGCCUCCCGGAUUCAAGCAAUUCUUCUGCCUCAGCCUCCCUAGUAGCUGGGAUUACAGGUGUUCACCACUAUGCCCACCUAAUUUUUGUAUUUUAAGUAGAGACAGGGUUUCACCAUGUUGGCCCAGCUGGUCUCAAACUCUUGACCUCAAGUCAUCCACCUGCUUUGGCCUCCCAAAUUGGUUGGAUUACAGGCAUGAGCCACCAAGCCCAGCCAAGAAAUCAUUUCUAAUUUAGGCACAAUAGGAGGUUGAAUCACAUCUGAUGUAAGGCUUGUGGACUACAGGCAUUUAACUGCUGAGUGAGCUUAGUUACACGUGCAGUAUCCUCCUUUUCGUACAUUUCUGAUGUUCUCUUUUUGCCAUAAAGUAUACAAUUUAGUAGUAUUAAGUACAUUCACAUUGCUAUGCAGCCAUAACCACUAUCCAUUUCCAGAACAUUUUCCUCAUCCCAAACAAGAACUUUGUAUUCAUUACAUGAUAACUCCUCAUUCCCUCCUUUCUCUACCCUUGGCAAACACCAUUCUACUUCUGUCUGACUACUCAUACAGUAUUUGUUCUUUUUGUCUGGCUUAUUUCACUUAGCAUAAUGUUUUCAAGUUUCGUCCAUUUAGUAGCAUGUAUCAGAAUUUCGUUACUUUUUAAGGCUGAACAAGUACUCCAUUGUAUGUAUAUAUUACAUUUUGUUUACCUAUUUAUCUGUUGUUGCAUAUUUGAGUUCUUAAAGUUAAUUACACUAAGUAUUAUAGUUAAGAAGCACCAGUUUUUCUUCUAAUACUAUAUUUGGAAAAAUGGGGAGACAAAAAUAGUACAAGAUAGAGAUGCUCAAUCUGUAGCUUGUGGCGAAAAGAUUCACAAAUAUACAGUAAGUAAUCAGAGAUGGAGGUAACCUAUCAACCAGAAUGUGACAAUGUAAGGAACUUUGGAAUAGGCAGAAAAGAGGACUUGGUGUCUCUAAUAAAAAGCUAUGCAUUUUUAGUGCACACUCUUACAGGUAAUCUAAAUAUAACUCUAUCACUCUAUCAUUGCCUUUGAGCUACUUUACAACUCUGUAAGUUGUAGAUAACUGAUAUUAAUGCAAAAUAAUUCUUGUAUAAACAUGAAAAUAAAUUAUAUUCUGUGAAAAAAAAGUUUGGCUAUUGUGAAUAAUGCUGCUAUGAACAUGGGUGUACAAAUAUCUGUUAGAAUCCGUACUUUUGAUUAUUUGUAUAUAUACCUGGGAGAGGAAUUACUGGACCAUAUGUUAAUUUUUUUUUUCUUACCAUGAGUUUGACUUUUUUUUUUUGAAACCGAGUCUGGCUCUCUUGCCCAGGCUGGAGUGCAAUGGUGCGAUCUCGGCUCACUGCAACCUCUGCCUCCCGGGUUCAAGCGAUUCUCCUGCCUCAGCCUCCCGAGUAGUUGGGACUACAGGCGCGCACUACCACGCCCAGCUAAUUUUUUGUUUUUUUAGUAGAGACAGGGUUUCACCAUUUUGGCCAGGAUGGUUUCGAUCUCUUGACCUUGUGAUCCGCCCGCCUUGGCGUCCCAAAGUGCUGGGAUUACAGGCGUGAGACAUCGCGCCCGGCCACCUAGCUAAUUUUAAAAUCAUUUUUUGGCCAGGCGCGUUGGCCCCCCUCGCCAAUCCCAGCACUUUGGGAGGCUGAGGCAGGUGGAUCAUGAGGUAAGGAGUUUGAGACCAACUUGGCCAACAUGGUGAAACCCAGUCUCUACUAAAAAUGCAAAAAUCUCACUAUGUUGCCCAAGCUGGUCUCGAACUCCUGAGCUCAGGCAAUCUGCUGCUUCAGCCUCCUGAAGUGCUAGGAUUACAGGCAUGAGCCACCGCGCCCAGCGGAUGAUGUUUUUGAUGUCGUAUCUAAGAACUCUUUGCCCAACUCAAAGUCACAAGAUAUUUUCUCCCAUGUUUUCUUAUAGAAGUGGUUUUGUUUUGUUUUGUUUGUUUGUUCAUUUGAGACAGAGUGUCACCUUGUCGCCCAGGCUAGAGUGUAGUGGUGCGAUCUCGGCUCACUGCAACCUCCGCCUCCUGGGUUCAAGCAAUUCUUCGCCUCAGCCUCCCGAGUAGCUGGGAUUACAGGCACCCGCCACCAUGCCCGGCUAAUUAUUGUAUUUUUAGUAGAGAUGGGGUUUCACCAUGUUGGCCAGGCUGGUCUUGAACCCCUGACCUCAAGUGAUCCGCCCACCUCAGCCUCCCAAAGUGCUGGGAUUACAGGCAUGAGCCACUGCACCCAGCCGAUUUAGCACCUUAAUCAAAAAUCAACUGACCAGCACUCACAUUCCUGAUUUCAAAAUUUAUUACUCCAGUCUGGGUAACCUAGUGAGACCUCACCUCUACAAAAAUAAAAAGAUAAAUUAGCCAAGUGUGAUGGCAAGUGGCUGUAAUCCUAGCUAUUCAGGAGGCUGUGACAGUAGGAUCGCUGAGCCCAGGAGAUCAAGACUGCAGGGAGCUAUGAUCAGUCGUGCCACUGUAUUCCAGCCUGGGUGAUAGAGCAAGGCCCUGUCUCUAAAAAAACAAAAACAAACAAACAAAACUACUGAUAAUCUACAGGUCACAUUUGGCAGGCUUCCAAAUUAACCUGCCUAGAAAAGGUCUUAGGAUUCUUGGCUUACAUUCUGUCCCUUAAUAAAAAAUCUUGGCAUGCCUGUAAUCCCAGCACUCUGAGAGGCUGAGGCAGGCAGAUCACUUAAGCCCAGGAGUUUAAGACCAGCCUGGGCAACACGGUGAAACCCCAUCUCUACACAAAAUUCAAAAAUUUUGUGGUUGUGGUGGUGCCAUCUGUAGUCCCAGCUACUUGGUAGGCUGAAGUGGGAGGAUUGCUUGAGCCGGGGGAGUUCAAGGCUGCAGUGAGCCACUGCACUCCUCCAGCCUGGGGCAUAACAGAGCGAGACCCCGUCUCAAAAAGACAAAACAAAACAGGCAGGGCACGGUGGCUCACGCCUGAUCUUGCGGUGAGCUGAGAUCGCGCCACUGCACUCCAGCCUGGGCGACAGACUGAGACUCCAUUUCAAAAAAAAAAAAAAAGAAAAAAUUACCUUUUUUUUUUUUUUUGAGGCAGAGUUUUGCUCU